UUAGGCUGGUCGUGGCCUGAGAUCGAAUUAUGUUAGACCCAACACUCAAACUCUAAUUAAUAAACAGAGUGAAAAGAACCGCUCUGGCACCAGUCAGAGUGGGGAUUGUCACUGACUCGCUAGCGUCACCUCCCCACCGGACUCAGCCUCCAGUUGUGACAUUUUAAACGAAUGGCCCUUUGAUGUAUGCACAGCCUGGCGAUGCUGGUGGAAUGGGAGCUGCUAUGGACUUUAGCAAAUCUGGAUUUUGCAAUUGGAAAAUUUUCUUAAUCAAACAAGAAAACCGCUUAAUCCACUUGAAUGCAGUGGCUGAUUGAAGAAACGCUACAGAGUUGGGGGUCUUUUGUUUUUGUUUUGAUAUUUCUUCAUUUGUGACACUUAGGGUCUAGACACCCCAAAGGGAGUUCUGGGGUCUGAAUCCCAAAGAAUGUGCAAUUGAAUCAACUGGUUGUGUACAAUAUUACUGUGUUUAAAUAUGUCAAGCAAGGUCUCGUAUGAAAACCUGUAAUGUGCUGAACCAGUUGGUUAUUAUAAGAUACGUAUACAAACUGUG